GGGGAUAUGGCGAAAUUGGYAGACGAAAAUCCGUCGACUUUAAAAAUCGUGAGGGUUCAAGUCCCUCUAUCCCCA
rnacentral:tRNA from 1 species